AUUAUCAACAUUUUCCUCUCUCUCUCUCUUUCUCUUUCUGGCUCUGCUUGUUGCACAACGAAUUAUUUUUCAUUCAUUCGGCAAAGUCGAACAUCACACACACACACAAACACAGAUCGAGUACAUCAAAUGGAUUGAUCAAGUAACACAUGCACACACCAUUUGGUGUUAGACCGAGUGGAUUUAUCAUUGAUUUCGACCACAUACAUAAUCGAUUCUGGUAUCAUGAGAAUUGUUUCGAUGUAAACAUUAUAGCUGACAAGUUUUCAUGAACCAACGGGCCGAUUCAAAUGAUCAUUUUGGAUCGAAAUAGUAACAGAUGGCCAAAUGAGUUGAUGAUCAAGCUUGGACUUGAAGAUUGAAAUAUUUUUUUACGUUUAUCAUGUUCAUGAUGAACUUUUUUCUCGAACGAGGAAAUUCCCCCCAUCGCCACAACCAUUAUCUCUCUAUCUUUUUCGUUUUGAUAAUGUUUUCAUUUAACAAAAAAACUAAAAGAAUUUAUUUAUCUCAAAAGCAUGUUCAAUUCAACAAAACCUGAAAUUUUUUGUGACAAACAGAAUAUUAUCAUAUACAAUGCAAACUCAACACAUUUGAAUUUCGAAUAACCUAUUGCGCCAUCUUCCGGUGAGCAAUUGAAUGCAAUUUAAAUUUUAAAAAAUUGUCAUCACAAUUUUUAAUCUGUUUAUUAAAUGAUGAUUGAUUGAUUGA